GCCCCGGGCAGACGCCUCUCCUUUGACACCCACCAUUCGUCUGUCGUGAUUUCAACCCAACAUCUGGUGACCCCGACGUGCCAGAUCCCUUACGCAGCCAAACCUCAUACUUCACCCGACUGGAAAAGUCUCAGCGCGCUACUUCGUGAGUAUGGGAGGGGACUUGACUAAGCUCCAGAAAGAGCAUGCUAAAGAGUUGCUUUAUUUAGUUAGACAGCGGGAGGUGGGUGUUAAUAUUUCCUUAAAAGAAAUUGAACAAUUGCUAUGUGAGAUAAAUUCCCAAUGCAUCUUUUAUCCAGAGGCUGGAUCUUUGGACGUAGAGACUUGGCAAAGAUCGGAAAGACCCUUUUGCAGAACCUAGGGCUCCGAUUCAUUGUCUGCUCACUUGGCAGAAAUGUGCUGAUGCCGUUGCUAAAUUAGGGCCCCAAUUGGGACCCCAGGCGUCUCCUCUUCUGGCCAUUGCAGACAGCCCCCACCCUACCCGAAACUUUUACCUCCUUCUCCCAGCCAAUCCCUCCCUGCUUCUCACCCUCCUCAGCCUGCAUCCUCCCCCCAUCCCUCCGCCUCAGCCUGAUUCCUCCCCCCCAUCCCUCCUCCUCCUGCCACAGCCCCUGUUUGCUCUAUAGGAGCUGUGCGUGCUGCGCUCUCUCUGGCAAGGCAAAAGGGCUCCUGUCCUUAGAGGAGGAGUCUGAGUGGCCAGGUGAAAUGCCGUCUGCUUUCCCUAUCUCUUAUUCAAACCCUGGAACUGCUCAACAGCAGAUUUAUUAUGAAUCGCUUCCUUAUUCUGUAAUGAGGGAAUUAAGGAAAGCCAUUGCUGAUUCUGGUCUGAAAUCCUCUUAUGUGACAGGGAUGCUAGAAGGCAUAGCAACUGGUUACAUUAUGCUACCUCAGGACUGGAAAGACCUUAUGCGCAUGCUUUUGUCCCCUGCUCAGUAUGUGGUGUUUGAGAGUGAAUUUAAACAUAGCGCUUCAGCCCUGUCUGAUCCUCAACAUACUGCCAAUGAACUUUAUGGUGCUGGUCAGUUUGCUGAUAUAACUGCCCAAGCAACACUGACACCUGUACAUUUUGUUCGCACCGCGACCUGUGUACAACGCGCCUUUCGGAAAGUCCCUGUUUCUGGGCAACCGCUGAGCUCCUUUGUAAAUAUUAAGCAACAGCAUUCGGAGCCAUACCAUCAGUUUAUAGAUAGAUUGAAAGAAUCAGUCACUAGGCAGAUUGAUAACACCACUGCUCAAAAUGAAUUGAUGAAAAAAUUGGCCUUUGAAAACGCAAACACUGAUUGCAAGAAAGCUUUGCAGUCAAUCAUACAUCGCCCUAAAUAUGAACUGGCCGAUAUGAUUCAAGCUUGUGCGGAUGUCGGUAGCCAGAGCCAUGCGAUGUCCUUGCUUGCCGGCGCAAUCCAAGCAACCACUAAGCCUACUGGUAACUGCUUUAAUUGCAAGCGCCCAGGCCAUUUUGCCAAGCAAUGCAGAGCCCCAGGCGGGGGGCACACAAGGAUGGUUCUGCCUCUAAGGCUAGACCUUCUAAAAAUGCCCGAAAUGUGGCAAAGGCUAUCAUUGGGCUAAUCAAUGCAGGAGUUCGGAAACUCCAUCCCGGCCUCGCUCUCGGGCCAGGAAAAUUAGAGAGCCCAGGAAAAUUAGAGAGCUUUCCGCCUUUAAUUUCUGCUGCUGCAAACUUUUCAAAGAACACACCCUCUGAAUUUGCAAUUGAUUUGAUCAAUCAAGAGACCAAAGAUUCUGUUCUACCUGGUGAAAUUGUGCUUAUGCCCACUCAAUUGGCAGGUCCCCUGCCUCCUAAAGUCGCAGGUUUAAUUUUACCCAAAUUUUCUGCGGCAAAGGAAGGCAUCCAGGUUAUUCCUGGAGUUCUGGAUCCUGACUAUGUAGGCACAAUAAUGGUUCAACUCUGGAGCCAUAUGCCCAUGCAAUUAAAAUGGGUGAGUCUUGGGCGCAUUUGGUGGUGCUCCCUUCUCAUCCUACUGCUUCUAUUAUGGAUACUAAUUUGCACGAGCUCUCUUCUUUCCCUCCACAGCUGUUAGCUGUAGUCCAGAGGAUUGGUGAGAAGAAACUUCUUCGUAAGUAUAAAAUCAAUGGUAUUGUGCUGGAAGGCUUGAUUGACACAGGCGCAGACGUUUCUGUAAUUUCUAGUAGUUGCUGGGACCCCACGUGGCCCCUUGAGUCUGCUUCUGCAGUCUGGGGUGUGGGUGGCCCCAAACCUCUUCCAAAAGCGUACAGUGGCUGCCUGUUUCUCUGCCUGAUAGCUCUGAAACCAUUGCUUACAUCCAGCCCUGUGUGCUGAAAAUCCACCUCAAUCUGUGGGGAAGAGAUUUGCUACAACAAUUACAAGCUACCAUUCAAUUUAAUGAGUAAGCUUGCACUUCCCCUCAACUGGAAAUCUUCUGGUCGUGUCCUGGCUAUAAGUUUAAUUACAUUCCAGCAAUACAUCAGCCAUGGCACACCUUGCUGUUUAAGCCGUUUGUCCAUCAUUUUACCCAAGAAGCAUCAUUUAUCCCGCUCUCGAUAUCGCUGCAAUAUUGAAUUGACUAAUGAUUGUGAUGCUUUUGUCUCUCUUCUCAGUAGGUCUGAAUAUAUCUCUUUAGCUGUUUCUCUCUUAGGAGUCCCUGGAUUGGCUGUACGGAAUCGUAUGAACAUUACUUCUUUAGUUUGUUAUGCAGCAAAAACUCUGAAUUAUAUUUCACAAGCCCUUCACCUUUUGAAUAAAGAACAGUGCACUCCACAAUGGACUUUUACAAAAUCCUUUUACAAAAUGGACUUUUUACAUUAUAUAACCCCCUUUUGAAUAAAGAACAGAGUGAACUAUAUAAUGGACUUUUACGAAAUCGUGCUGCUAUCACUAUUUGCUGAUGCUUCAUCAUUACGGCUGUGAACAAGUGAAUGACAUGUGUUGUUUCAAUAUUACUGACAAUUCUAGAGCCAUUCAAAGCCAAAUCUCUCAUUUGCAAAAUCUUACACAUCACAUUAAACAGGACGUUGGAUUUUCUGGCCUCUGGGAUUCUUUCACCCAGUGGCUUACUGCUUGGUUGCCUAACCUUACUUGGCUUCGUAGUCUCUUUCAAUAUGCUAUUUUCAUAAUUUCUAUUUUUAUUUUACUAUGCUGUUUCCUCCAAUGCGUUCCCAGCCUCAUGAGUCUUUUCUCUCGGCUUCUCUCCCCCCCUCCACCACCCAGCAAACUGCUUGCUGCUUACAUUGCGAAAUGGCAACACCAACAGUAAACCUUAGGGGAGAUGUGGGCGGAUUUAUUUUGGGCAUGCGCUGGCAAACCACGUAUCCUGAAGUACUUUUGUCCCAUCGACCCUGGCAGGCUUAUUUCGGGCAUUCGCUGGCACACCACUAAUCCCGAAGUAUUUUUGCCUUAUCCACCUGGAAUGCCUCGCAAACAAGAAAAGAAAGGGGGAGAUGAAGGGAAGUUCUCUUUCUGCAGUUCUCUUACUGCACAUAACUGUGGCAUUAUGGGAAGUCUUACUAUGCAAUCUUUCUAUGCUUACUAUGAAAACUCUUGCUUCUUUCCUCUUACAUUCUGGGAAGUUUUUGCCUCUGCACAUAAGUCUGAGAAUGUUCUGAACAGUUCCCAUUGAGUUCAUGAAACAGUGUAUCCUGACCUGUUCUUAAUGCAUUGCUGACCACAUUUACGGAACGUGAUUGUUGUAUUCCUUCAUGUUAUGUUCUCUCAAUAUCAAUCUUUAGUUACAAUUUAAUUAGGAGGAUUCAUGCCUGUCUAGUUCCAGCUCCGUUCCCAGUCUUUUGAACUAUCACUGAUUAAUGUACAUAUGUUAUUCCCGCCUUGUACCUAUGUUAACCAAUCAGCAACAAGAUGCUUUGUGUUUGUAUCAACCAAUCAGCCACAAGCACACCUGUGGCAAUGUUUGUAAUAUUCAAUAAAAGAGAGUUCCCGGGACUUGCCCCGGGCAGACGCCUCUCCUUUGACACCCA